rnacentral:tRNA from 1 species
GCCCCCGUAGCGCAAUGGUAGCGCGUAAGACUGUAUGUGUAUACCGUCAUCAUUCGUCCUUAGGACCAUAUAACUAAUAAAUUCAUAGUCUAGCUUCACAGCGAUCUUAAGGUUGCGAGUUCGAGCCUCGCCGGGGGCU